rnacentral:misc_RNA from 1 species
CAGGACACGCCGCCGGAAGAGUCCAUACAGACGAGCUUGCUAAAAUACAAUAACUUUCAAAUUCAAGUGUCUCCGACUCGACUCCGAGGAUUUUAUCGUGUCCUUUGUGCACCGACAGUACCUGCACGACGAUGAGCAGCUAUGGUAGAGGGCCUCCCAGCAUCGAUGGGAUGGUGUCGCUGAAAGUAGAUAAUUUAACUUACAGAACCACCCCAGAAGAUUUGCGGCGUGCGUUCGAAAAGUAUGGCGACGUUGGAGAUGUGUACAUUCCUCGGGAUAGAUUUACCAGAGAAAGCAGAGGAUUUGCUUUUGUUCGUUUUUAUGACAAGCGAGAUGCUGAAGAUGCAAUGGAUUCUAUGGAUGGUGCACUCUUAGAUGGAAGAGAAGUCCGAUGUCAAAUGGCACGUUAUGGAAGACCCUCAGAGCCUCACAGACGUGGGCCUCCCAGACGCGGUAGCUACGGAAGGCGGGGACGUUCCAGGUCCCGUUCACCAAGAAGGAGGCGUAGAUCCAGGAGCAGGUCCGGCAGUCGCUCACAAAGUCGUUCUCAAAGCCGCUCUCGCAGUCGGAGUCGUGGAAGGAAUGCCUCCAGGAGCAGAUCUCGGUCCUAUGAGCAGAAUGGAGCAGAAGCCUCAGAUUGACUUCCACAGUUGCAGCAGUGAAGCCUUCUAAUCUCUCAAUGGGGAGACAGCCUUGCCCAUGCAUCUGCCCUGCUGAAAAAGGAGCAGUAAAUGCGGGUUAAUUAGUUGCUGUGGCAGUCAUGGUGCAGUGCUGGUUCGCUGUUACUGUUGCUGCGGUGUUGCGGGUGAUAGCUGUUGCUGUCGGGCUAGCAGUAAAGGGUUGCAGUAUGCAGUGGCUGUUGCGGUGGGGUGGAGUUGAGAAUGCUGGAGGAGAGCGAGCAGGUGUUGCUGUUAAUGCGUGGCCCAGCGACCAGAAAUUGCUGUCGGUGCCGUAUCCAGCCUGCUGUGGCCAGGAAAUGGUGGUGCAUCAUCUCAUCGUUUCAUACAUGUGUCUACUCAUUCAUUUUAUUCACACAUCAGUCAAAAAAUUUUAAAACAUUUUAACCCAUUUUUUCCUCUUUCUUCCCCACAAACAUUAAUUCAUUCUCUUUUUUCUCUCUCUCUCUUUCUCUCUCUCUCUCUCUCUCUCUCUCUCUCUCUCUCUCUCUCUCAAGGUUAAAUCUUUCGAUCCAUCGUUUGGUGUUUUUUUUACCGUAAAAUUGGUCAUGAAAUAAACGUCCCAUACGGCAACUACAUUUUAAUGAAGUAAUUAUCAGACAGAUGAGAGUAAAUAUUUUAGACUGACUUUAUUUAGUGUGUUUUAAAAAAGUGUUGUUCUCACUUCAAUGUCCACGCCCAUUAUAAGUUCCCAAGUUUAAUCGGUUUAUAGUUGGAUGUGAAAUGAAUUUGUCAACGUUAUUUUUCUAGUUAAUGUACUGUAGUCUCCACCUAAACUCACUGUGCUCUGGAGCAUUCCUAGGCGUGUCGAUAUAAUAUGGGUACAUAACACUUUGAAUGAGGGGUAGAGGGAAAAUACAACAAAAAGACCUUCUCACUGUCAUGUCUGGAACAGAUAGGAAGAAACUGUGAUAGUCAAGAGAAGAACGCUCAGCCACGCGGCCUUAACGACCACUUCAGACUACCUGUCGUCUAUUGCAACUCAGUUAGCUUAUGGUGACAUCGUAAUCAUACACUUUGGGAUACUUUCCUCUCUGGUGAUUCAUUGAGUGCGUUGAUUCUUCAAGCGCAUCUGAUCACUUAACUAAACUUAGUUCCUAUAGUGUUCUGUCGCAUUUACUAGUGUUACGUAUUACGCAUAUUUUUAUUUUAUAGGCCUACCUAAACAAAGUUACCCAAACACCAGUGAGAGACCUUUUCACAAAGAUGCAGUUUGGGUGACCCAACCGAGUUUCUUCCCCAAAACAUAUCACUAUCUCAGUCCUCUAUUAACUUAUGUGUCCAUCAACAGUAAGGUGGGUUAAUGCUCUCCAUCGCUCUGUUUUCUGCACGAGGGGUAGCCUCUCCUAAUAAUACUAAUAUCCGAUUGUCUGGACUUGUUUUGCAAGCUAUGUAGGCUGCAGCAAAAGUUACCCUUGUCAAGCUUUCCCUUACUUGUCAACGUGUUUCACGGGUCAAAGCGUGCAUUAAGAAGUGACUGCAUUUGUAUUUCUAAAUUAUAAAUCCCGUCAUAUGGCAAUAGCAUGCGUUUGAGCAGAGCGUGCCUUUGUAUGGCGUGUGUUUUAGUGGAGACUACUGUACUCGUGGGAGACCCUCUCGAUAUGAGUCUACCAAUGUACCAAGUGUAUGAUUUUUUGCACUCUCUCAUGAGGGCUGGAUUUGUGUUGAAACAGAAUGUGAUACUGAUACACAUGUGAACGUUCACAGCCGUGAUGGCUUCAGUAUUUUCUGUAAAAGUAAAUCAGAUCAAUUCUGUCUUCCUUUCUAAUGAAUGUGGAUCUAGUUCAUUUUGGGAGUAUUAGGUUCAAACCAGUACCAGUCUUAAUGGGUUCCGUAAUGAGAGUUCCAGCAGGUGAGGGGUUUGACAUGUUACAAUACAAUCUACUGUUGUCUUAAUCCCCUUUUUUUUGUUACAGGUUGAGCUGAGAUCUUUUUAUGUAAUAAAAUAAAUUUGUAUGAAAA